CCUACGGGGGGCAGCAGUGGGGGAUAUUGCACAAUGGGGGGAACCCUGAUGCAGCGACGCCGCGUGGGUGAAGGAGGAUUUCGGUAUGUAAAGCCCUAUUGUCAGGGAAGAAUUUAGACGGUACCUGACUAAGAAGCCCCGGAUAACUACGUGCCAGCAGCCGCGGUAAUACGGUGGGGGCACGCGUUAGCCGGAUGCACUGGGUGUAAAGGGAGCGUAGACGGCUAGGCAAGGCUGGAGUGAAGGCGCGGGGGCCAACCCCGGGUCUGCUCUGGUAACUGUCCGGCUGGAGUGCGGGAGGGGAAGGCGGAAUUCCUGGUGUAGCGGUGAAAUGCGUAGAUAUCAGGAGGAACACCGGCGGCGAAGGCGGCCUGCUGGUCCGCGACUGACGUUGAGGCUCGAAAGCGUGGGGAGCGAACAGGAUUAGAUACCCUUGUAGUC
rnacentral:rRNA from 1 species